UCCUUGGAGGACUAGUGGUUAGGCCACAGCGCUCUCACCGCCGUGGCCUGGGUUCGAUUCCCGGCCAGGGAA
rnacentral:tRNA from 1 species